rnacentral:lncRNA from 1 species
AGGGGAUAGGUCUUCUGAUGUCGCCUCUUACCCUGUUGCAAACGCCAGGAGGACAGAGAGGAAAGCCAGCAGCUUUUAGAGGACAGAGGGCCCCCCAAAACCUGGAUCCUCCCCUGUCCCCUGCCCUCGGGGAGCUGCCCAGAUCCACAGCCACCCUUGGAGCACAGCCAGCCAGAAAGGCGGAAUUGCAGAUGGCAGAGCUGUGUGCAGCUGUGGGACUCCUCAAAGCCGUCUUGGGUUAUAUUCCUGGAAAAGGCACUGCAGGUAAAAAUGAUGUAGGUUGAAUCUGUUUUUUCCCACAAACAUUGUGAUAAUGGAAAUUACAUUCCUCACCAAGGUCUUGGUGCCCAACUUUUUCUAGGAAUAGGUAUAAGCACUAUAAACACCAUAUUUAAUCAACUGUAAAUGACACACCUAUACUCUGUAUUUGUGAAAUUGAAUUUGAGUAUAUAAAACUGCUACACCGGACAAUAUGGUAACCAAAUCCCAUUCUGUUUAAUUUAAUGUGUUCAGAAGAUUCCUGGGAGAAAUGCUAUUUUAGGGGGAGGAGGGAGCCCUGGAGAGGACUGAAGAGACUUUCCCUCCCCCACACGGAACCUGCGUAGGCAAGAGGGAGACUGUCAAAGGUCUGAAGCUGAGAGACGAAGAUUUUUGUGCCCCAUGGCCCACCUGAAAACAGACCAACCAGGCAGCAGCAUUCGUGGGUGCGGCUGGCCCACUCUGACGUGCUCGUCACUUAAGCUAAAAGCUGCCUACACAUAGACCAGCAAAGGGGGACGCUUGAGAGGGCUUGCAACACGCGCAGUUGGGUGAGGCUGAUCUGGAAUGGCUUUCUG